rnacentral:lncRNA from 1 species
GGAUAACGAACAGAAACCUUCAUCUAUGGCGACUAGGGUUAGGGUUUCGAUCUUCGUCCCAGUUUUUAUCGUCCUCCUCCUCGCAGCUCUCUACGAAUCGUCCCAUGGGGACGAUCAAGUAAUCUCCCACAGCGUUGGUGCGAUUCGCAGUCUGUCAGGCGCGCGGAAAAACAGCCAGAUCCCAGAUUGCAACGAAAUGGCUUCGAAUUCGCAGUGCUCGCAGAACUCCAAGUGCCGGUGGUGCAGAAGCGAUGCCCUUGACGAUAUGUGUUUUAGCAAGGCCGAAGCGUGGCGGCUUCCCCAACAGGUCUUCUCUUGCGAUUCAUAAUGAACAAGAUGAGGAUUUUUUUAUUUUGGUGUUUCUGAACCAUAUUCAUGAUUUGAAUUUAUGUGUUGCAAAUUGGAAAGUUCCAAAUGUAUGGGUUGUGAUGAAUUGCAAUGAUUUUGAAUUCCACAGAAUUAAGAGUUUCAAAUCAAAUCCAAUUCUCCCCACCUAACAGAUCUUUGAAGUUAAUGUUUUGGGUUGAUGUGUGAUGAUGAAGAAAGAUUAAUUUCAGGAACAAAUCUA